rnacentral:rRNA from 1 species
UUUUUUAAUUGAAAACUCGUAUGAAUGGUUGAACGAAAUAUUAACUGUCUCAUAAAAAUUUUAAUUGAACUUUACUUUUUAGUUAAAAGGCUAAAAUUAAAUUAAAGGACGAGAAGACCCUAUAGAGUUUUAUAAUUUAAUAAUUAUAAUUUAUAAAGAAUAAUUAAAAUUUUAUUUAUUAACAUUAUUUUGUUGGGGUGACAAUAAAAUUUAACAAACUUUUAUUAUUUUUUAACAUUAAUUUAUGAAUUAUUGAUCCAGUUUUAUUGAUUAAAAAUUUAAAUUACCUUAGGGAUAACAGCGUAAUUUUUUUUUAGAGUUCAUAUCGAUAAAAAAGAUUGC